GACGUAGGGGCGAGCGUUGUCCGGAUUUAUUGGGCGUAAAGCGCGCGUAGGCGGCCGCGCAAGUCGGAUGUGAAAACCCGGGGCUCAACCCCGGGCGUGGCCAUUCGAUACUGCGCGGCUCGAGACAGGUAGGGGAGAUGGAAUUCCGGGUGUAGCGGUGGAAUGCGUAGAGAUCCGGAAGAACACCGGUGGCGAAGGCGGCCUGCUGGGCAGUGGCUGACGCUGAGGCGCGACGCGUGGGGAG
rnacentral:rRNA from 1 species